rnacentral:rRNA from 1 species
UCAUUCUAGAUACACUUUCCAGUACAUCUACUAUGUUACGACUUAUCUUACCUUAAAAAUAAGAGCGACGGGCGAUGUGUACAUAUUUUAGAGCUAUAAUCAAAUUAUUAAUCUUUAUAAUUUUACAACCAAAUCCACUUUCAAAAAUUUUUUCAUAAUUUCAUCCAUUUAAAUAAAUUUAUUGUAACCCAUUAUUACUUAAACAUAAGCUACACCUUGAUCUGAUAUAAAUUCUUAUAAAAAUUAUUGAAUAUUUUUAUUCUUAUAAAAUAUUCUGAUAACGACGGUAUAUAAACUGAUUACAAAUUAAAGUAAGGUCCAUCGUGGAUUAUCGAUUACAAAACAGGUUCCUCUGGAUAGACUAAAAUACCGCCAAAUUUUUUAAGUUUCAAGAACAUAAGUAUUACUACUUAAAUA